rnacentral:rRNA from 1 species
GAUGAACGCUGGCGGCGUGCCUAAUACAUGCAAGUCGAGCGAACAGACGAGGAGCUUGCUCCUCUGACGUUAGCGUCGUACGGGUGAGUAACACGUGGGUAACCUACCUAUAAGACUGGGAUAACUUCGGGAAACCGGAGCUAAUACCGGAUAAUAUAUUGAACCGCAUGGUUCAAUAGUGAAAGACGGUUUUGCUGUCACUUAUAGAUGGAUCCGCGCCGCAUUAGAUAGUUGGUAAGGUAACGGCUUACCAAGGCGACGAUGCGUAGCCGACCUGAGCGGGUGAUCGCCCACACUGGAACUGAGACAGGGUCCAGACUCCUACGGGAGGCAGCAGUAGGGAAUCUUCCGCAAUGGGCGAAAGCCUGACGGAGCAACGCCGCGUGAGUGAUGAAGGUCUUCGGAUCGUAAAACUCUGUUAUUAGGGAAGAACAAAUGUGUAAGUAACUAUGCACGUCUUGACGGUACCUAAUCAGAAAGCCCCGGCUAACUACGUG